rnacentral:rRNA from 1 species
ACUCAAAGGAAUUGACGGGGGCCCGCACAAGCAGCGGAGCGUGUGGUUUAAUUCGACGCAACGCGAAGAACCUUACCAAGGCUUGACAUCCCUCGCUAUUCAUGGAAACAUGGAGUUCCCUUCGGGGACGAGGAGACAGGUGGUGCACGGUUGUCGUCAGCUCGUGUCGUGAGAUGUUGGGUUAAGUCCCGCAACGAGCGCAACCCCUGUGCUUAGUUGCCAUCACUUCGGGUGGGCACUCUAAGCAGACUGCCGGUGACAAACCGGAGGAAGGUGGGGAUGACGUCAAAUCAUCAUGCCCCUUAUGCCUUGGGCUACACACGCGCUACAAUGGUCUGUACAAAGGGCAGCAACACCGCGAGGUGGAGCGAAUCCCAUAAAGCAGAUCUCAGUUCGGAUUGCAGGCUGCAACUCGCCUGCAUGAAGUCGGAGUUGCUAGUAAUCGUGGAUCAGAACGCCACGGUGAAUGCGUUCCCGGGCCUUGUACACACCGCCCGU